UAGUAAUCGCGGAUCAGCAAGCCGCGGUGAAUACGUUCCCGGGCCUUGUACACACCGCCCGUCACACCAUGAGAGUCGGGAACACCCGAAGUCCGUAGUCUAACCGCAAGGGGGCGCGGCCGAAGGUGGGUCCGGUAAUUGGGGUGAAGUCGUAACAAGGUAAC
rnacentral:rRNA from 1 species